rnacentral:tRNA from 1 species
UGACCCGUAGCUCAGGGGUAGAGCGCCUCGCUGAUAACGGGGAGGACGGCGGUUCGAACCCGUCUGGGUCGA